AGAGUGGUUAUUGAAGUCAUUCAGCGCUUGUCAUCUUCCACUUGAUGCUUUAAAAGUAACUGUAGUUGUCAAAGACACAAUAUGUGACUGCUGCGUUAAAACAAAAAAGGACAGCGUCUUGAAAGUACUGAGGCCAGACACUCAUGAUAUACAGGCCCAAGCUGUCUUAACAGCUUCAAGCUGGGGUAUAUACGUGUAUGUUAUUUCAAGAUCUGAUGAAACAAGUAAAGCAAGGUCUGCUGGUGAGAUGUUUUCUCUCCUGUUGUGUCUCUCGGGUUUAAUCAUUGGAGAGCUGUGUGGGUGACUAUGAGAGGCCCUUUGGUUCUCUGAAAAUACCGGGGGGGCGGGAGCGGGGGCUGCGUGGAGGCGUUGGGGGCUACUGAUGAAGAUGAAGCUGUCUGGCUGUGUCACAAGGGGCUGUUCCACCACAUUCUGACUGAGGGAGGAGAUGGAGAGCGAAUGAAAGAGUGAGAAAGAGUGCCUAAUCCAUCACAGGAAGGGAGGACUGACACAACAAAAGACAGAGUGCGGAGCAAGGCUUUUU